rnacentral:lncRNA from 1 species
GAUCUUCCUCCUUGAUUCACUCAACAAGGACUCCGAUUUUCCAUCAACAGAAGGAGUGGAGCGAAGCACGACGUUGCAGGCCACGUUAGGGAUUAGGGACUGAUAUAUUUAGAUCCCUAAGCAGUCCCUGAGUUGGUGGAACUGGCAGCAUAAGAAACACUCCUCUCCGAACAACUUUAGCAGUGAUUACCUUGGAAGUUCUUUCCUGAUACAUUGAU